GACGAACGCUGGCGGCGUGCUUAACACAUGCAAGUCGAACGGAGAGGGCCAGCUUUUGUCGGGUGCUCAAGUGGGGAACGGGUGAGUAACAAGCGAGUAAUCAGCCUUUGAUUUUGGGAUAACUUAAGGUAACAGGGGCAAAUAACGGAUAGGAACUCCUGCUGCAUGGUGGGGGUUGGACAGUUUCGGCGGCGGGGGAUGGACUCGCGGCUUAUCAGCCUGUUGGUGGGGUAGUGGCUUACCAAGGAUAUGACGAGUAGCCGGCCUGAGAGGGUGACCGGCCACAUUGGGACUGAGAUGCAGCCAAGACUCAUACGGGAGGAAGCGAUGAGGAAUAGAGCACGAUGGGCGGCAGCCUGGAGGAGCAACGCCGCGUGCGGAAUCACGGACUUCUGGUUGUAAACCGCUUCUGCCGGUGACGAAGCGUGAGUGACGGUAAUGGGUAAAGAAGCAGCGGCUAACUACGUG
rnacentral:rRNA from 1 species